rnacentral:rRNA from 1 species
UCAGGCCUAACACAUGCAAGUCGAGCGAGAAAGCACUUCGGUGUGAGUAGAGCGGCGGACGGGUGAGUAACGCGUGGGAAUCUACCUGGUAGUGGGGGACAACUCGGGGAAACUCGAGCUAAUACCGCAUACGCCCUUCGGGGGAAAGCGGGGGAUCUUCGGACCUCGCGCUAUUGGAUGAGCCUGCGUCGGAUUAGCUUGUUGGUGGGGUAAAAGCCUACCAAGGCGACGAUCCGUAGCUGGUCUGAGAGGAUGAUCAGCCACACUGGGACUGAGACACGGCCCAGACUCCUACGUGAGGCAGCAGUGGGGAAUAUUGCGCAAUGGGGGAAACCCUGACGCAGCCAUGCCGCGUGUGUGAAGAAGGCCCUAGGGUUGUAAAGCACUUUCAAUAGGGAAAAAAGGCGUACGGUUAAUACCCGUGCGAGUUGAUAUUACCUAUACAAGAAGCACCGGCUAACUCCGUGCCAGCAGCCGCGGUAAUACGGAGGGUGCAAGCGUUAAUCGGAAUUACUGGGCGUAAAGCGCGCGUAGGCGGUCUGUUAAGUCAGCUGUGAAAGCCCCGGGCUUAACCUGGGAACUGCAGUUGAUACUGGCAGGCUAGAGUACGAGAGAGGGAGGUAGAAUUCCAUGUGUAGCGGUGAAAUGCGUAGAUAUAUGGAGGAAUACCAGUGGCGAAAGCGGCCUCCUGGCUCGAUAC